rnacentral:lncRNA from 1 species
AAAAAGAUUGGCAGCAGUUGUUAGCCCAGGUGCCAAUCUUUGAAAAAAAAAAGGAAGAUUGGCAGCAGUUGUUAGCCCAGGUGCCAAUCUUUAAAGAAAAAAAAAAAGACUAUGCAGCUACCCUUUAGGGGUUGUGAAAACAAUGUAGUGAAUUGAACCAGCAUUUUAAAAAACGAAACAGGAUAGAAUAGAAAAUACCAGUGACUGUCGAGUGGUAAGGAGGUGACUGUUUUUGUUCGUUCUGUGUUUGCCGUGAAGAUCAUGUCAUUCUGAUCACAACGUUUUGACUUUUGUCAAGAGAACCAAAUGAGAGGAAGGACAGGUCUCCAAGAAAUACGGCAUGGAUCAGGUCUUCCACUCCUACGCCCCUCCCCACCUUGCAUCGGUUCCUUGGUUCCUUUACCUGCGUUCUGCCCCUAUCAGAAAGGACCACCGACCCUGGAAAGCUUUGAUCCUGGAACCUGUCAAGGUUGUUGUCUGAUCAAAACUCUACUGGCCAUUAAUCGAAAGGUGAAGAGUAGUUCUUCAUUGUCAUUGAAGUCCAAACGUGAGGAAAUGGGCUUAAAACACAAAGGAUGACAAAAAUGUGUUAGAACUAGAGGCGGUGGUUGUGCAACAUUGUAAUUGGACUAAAUACCACCGAAUUGUUCACUUUAAACUGGUUAAUUUUAUGUUAUGUGAAUUUCACAUCAAUAAAAAAAAGUACAAAUGGAACCAUUUAUGUGUGAAGCCCCUUUUUCUUUUUUUAAAGAUUUUUUCCCUUUUUCUCCCCAAAUCUCCCCAGUACAUAGUUGUGUAUUUUUAGUUGUGGGUCCUUCUAGUUGUGG